GACGAACGCUGGCGGCGUGCUUAACACAUGCAAGUCGAACGGAAAGGCCCUGCUUUUGUGGGGUGCUCGAGUGGCGAACGGGUGAGUAACACGUGAGUAACCUGCCCUUGACUUUGGGAUAACUUCAGGAAACUGGGGCUAAUACCGGAUAGGAGCUCCUGCUGCAUGGUGGGGGUUGGAAAGUUCCGGCGGUUGGGGAUGGACUCGCGGCUUAUCCGCUUGUUGGGGGGGUAGUGGCUUACCAAGGGUUUGACGGGUAGCCGGCCUGAGAGGGUGACCGGCCACAUUGCGCCUGCGGUACGGACCAGUCUCCAACGGGACGCAGUAGUCGGGAAUCUGGCACAAUGGGCCGACGCCUGAUGCAGCAACGCCGCGUGCGUGAUGAUGGCCUUCGGGUUGUAAACCGCUUUCGCCUGUGCCGAACCCUGAGUGACGGUAAUGGGUAAAGAAGCACCGGCUAACUACGUG
rnacentral:rRNA from 1 species